AAGCUUUACUAAUCCUUGAAAUGUUGUCUCUGGUUCUAUCAAAAAUAGAAAUCCGUUGGAAACUAUUGGUGGUGUUAACCAUUAGCACUCAUUUGUGUUUGUAUCUCAAAAAGUUUAUUUGCUGGAGGAUGAAAGAAGAACUUGGAAACAUGGAGAGAGCAAAUUUACACUGGAAUCAGGUAAUAAUGGAUCCUCCAUGAUGGAAAAGGAAAAUCAGAACAACAAAUAAAAACAGAAAGCAUUGCUGGAAGGACGGAGCAAGCUGCUAAUCCAUUUGCAAAUUUUCAUAUUUGUUAGGAAAUUUCUUAAAGAGGCCGUGUACUUUAUGCUGAAUAGAAGUUAUGAUAAGAACUUUGAGAGAACCAGACCACAAAAGCCAGCUACUAUAGUUGAAAAGAGAUCCCACUGUUCAAGGUGACCCCGCACUAAAAUUGCAAUUGGAUCCUAACAUCUUUCUAUGUUUAGCAGCCCCAACAAGUUAUGCGCGAACUUUUUGACCAGUCUUGGGUGAACGCCAACACCACUCUGCUCAAGUUGCUUAUUCGUUAUCGAGAGGCCAUGUGCUUAAUGUUUGAUAGAAAUUAUGAAAGGAAUCUGCAGAGAACAACACCACAUAAGCUAGUUGUUGUAGUUGAAGAGCCCAGGGCCUUAUAAACCCCACACUAAACAUGCAAUUGGAAUUUGGAUCUUGACAUUCCACUACGCUCUCUAGCCUUGGUGUCCAUGCGGGCUAGCUGUGCACUAACCCUUUGACUAGUGUUUGGUGGACACUGCAAUGCCAGUCACCCUGCCAACUUUGCCCAUUUUUUAGUUGAUGGAACUGGUAUCAAUAUGACGAGAAAGAACAUUUCUGUAUUGAAUAAAACCAGGGAGAAGUUCCCCAGGGAGUAAUGCACGAUUCUAGAUAUUUAAUGAGGUGUGGAUCCACUUCUUACUUCAGUUUCUUAAUCACCAAAAGUCCCAUCAAACCAUUUACAGUCAUCCUAUUUUAUAGGCAACUAUUUAUCUACAGUUUAUAACUGUAACCCAUCCUUAAUGGGCCUAAUUAGGUGCAUGCCCCAUUCACCUUUAUUCUAACAUAAACCUGCUUGAUCACAGGUCUGCUAUCUGUUGUAAAUACUUGAUUAGCAUUAAUUUAGGACAGAAUGUUUCCUGCGCAAAUUUCUCAAACUGAUAGCCUGUAAUUACUAGGACAUUAUAUGUCUAUUGUGAUUAGCCAAUAUUAGUAGAUUAAAUUAGUAUAGUAGUGCUUGUAUUUGAUAUCAAUGAUAAUAUUUGAAACUUCAUUCCUUUUCAACUUGGUACUAGAGGCCAUAGCCCACAUUUGUUGAUUCUGGGGUUUGUGGAAGGGGAUUUUUAUUGUUUUCAUAGUUUUCUUCAUGUAUCGUUUGGUCCAAUAGACAUGUGUGAAGGGGGGUGUUAAAAAUUUCCUCAUUGCGUACUUUAUAUACUUAUUGGGGAACUUCACUUAAUUAAUGUCAAUUGAUUUUAAGAUGAAACCUAAGAAUUAUCAAAUUAAGUGCCUAAUGUUGUCUUAAGUCAGAUGCUAAUCUAAAGAAACCUUGAAAAUUAUCAUUAUGGUCACAUCAAAUGCAGAAGUAGCACAUAUUGCAAAGUGCAUAUAUACUCUGCCUCUUUACUUCGGCUCCAACAACUAAAUCUAUUAACAAAAACAUUGGCACAGGUACUUUGCCGCUUUACAAAACAUACCUAGCGUUUGCCAGAAAAAUUAAGCAAUUGAUGUUAAUGAAUAAUGAUCCAAGCAUACCUAGCAUUUGCCAUAAAAGUAUGACGAAUCAUUCACUAAGAACAAUAAGCUAAAUUUUCAAAACAUUGAUUUAAUGUUAUAUUUCAUUUCUUUUAAUUUUCUUCUGUUGAAAUGGGAAAUUUUAUUAUUAUAGAUCAAACUACAGGGUGUGAUUUUGAAUGUUAUAUUGGGCUUGUUUAUCAUUACAAUAUGCUAGUUAUUGGAUGUGAUUCCACAAUAUGCCCAGUAUUUGCCAAAAAAGCAUAAAGAACAUAAGCUAAAAUUUCAAAACAUUCAUUUAAUGUUAUAUUUCAUUUGUUUUAAUUGUCUUCUGUUGAAGUGUGACAUGUUUUCUUAAUAUAGGUCAAACUACUGGAUGUGAUUUUUGAAUAUUCAUAUAUUAGCAUUGUUUAUCAAGCCUAGUGACUUACUCUUUAAACUGGUAAAUACAUAAAUUGAUUGAGGGUUUAUAAUGCAUUUUUCGCCACAAUUUCUCUCCUUAAUCUGUUCAUCGGUGCUGUUAAUACUUAAUCUAUUCUUCCAGAUGAGAAAUUCACCAUGUAAAACAAAUAACAUAUGUGAGAGAAACUUACAUCUCAGAAGCUCCAACAUGAUAAAUUGUGUUCAAUUUUGGCGAACAAAAGUCAGGACAAGACAUAUUUCGGAAUAUCAGUAGUCGUAUUUUCAAUAGCUACAGCAACAUUAUGUUUGGCAAAAUACUUGUCUAUUUUCAAUAGCUACAGCAACUUAUGCUGCAUGUUAUUGAAGUGGUAGAGCAGACCUGUAGAAAGGGACAUGAAGUUGGUUGGGAUCUUUAGGCACUGUCUCCCGGUUAACUGUUAUAUGUACUACGAUUCAAUUAAGCCCAUCAGAAUCACAAAUAAGGUUCAUCUUUUUAUCUUUUGUUCUUGUUGAUCCGUAUUUGUUGCUUUUUUUAAAACAAAAUUCGUUAAGAUUGAAGAGAUAGGUACAUUAUACAUAUGCUAUAGGGUAAAAAGAAUCCUUAAAUAUAUCAUGUAAAAAAGGAAGAAGUAUGAACAAGUAACAUGCAAUAUGUCGAAGGUCUAAUAAUAACCAUUAGCAGAAUUCCACAAAGAAGCUACGUGAACUACACAAUCCCGAAUGAAUUCAAGAGUCAAACAAUGACCAGUAAAGAUUCUCGCAUUUCUUUCUGACCCAAUUCACUAGAUAAUUGCGAAUUGAGAGCUGCACACGGGAACUACUUGGGCCAAAUCCUCUAAAAUUGACGUGUGGGCACUGCUGGAAUUGUGCAACUUGUUUUCAUGAUUCUCCUGUUUUCACCUGAACAGAAACAGUUGGCAUCUGUUGUACAGUGUGCCAUAAAAAAGGAUGGGUUCAGGAACCUUUUGCAUAGGUGCCUUUGUUCCAGUAGAAGUUCCCCUAAUUUUUUCUCUCUAGCAUCUUUGUGCUCUGGAGGACACUGGACUUGGUAUUUGCUAAAUAAACCAUGACUUCUGCAACAAGAAGGAUGGAUCUGUUGGACGAAAAACUGGAAUGAAUGGAAGCCUGAACUGAGAGCAGAAUUUUUUUCUAGCAUGGAGAACAGAUUGGGGCACGCGUAGGACAAAAUAGAAAGGUUGGAGGUCAACUGGACGAAGAGGCUUCAACAUGUAAUUAAGAAUGUAUUGGAACAAAAGGUCGAACAUGAGAAUUUCAACAAGAGGAAAUUCUACAAGAAUAAAUUAGAGUCAGAUUGCGAUCUGCAUGGCUUGGAUGAGUAUCUGACGGUAGUUAAGAAAGCAUUUCUGUGAACCUUAGACGGGGUAAAUACCCUGUGGGAUGGAACUUUGAUUUGCAGAAUACAAGUGCUGAUGUGAGGAUUUGCAGAAUAAAACCAUAACUGGGCAACAUUUAAAAGAGCCUCCGUUGCAAGCUUUGUUGGAACAAAGGUUGAAAAUCCAUAUGAAGAUGCCAUAGGAGCUUUUGAAUCUGUAUCCUAUCAAGUAAGAAAACUACUGAACGAGCAGUCGCUUGGUAUCCAUUAGUGUCUGUGGGCCUGAUUUAGAUCCUUGGCUUCUACGAAUUCUGAUGACGGUUAUUGAGGCAAUAGCAGUCUUUGCUCUGUAAAGAUCAAGGAGGCUGAUCGUCCCAGAGGUUUUUAUGGAGGGUUAAUAAGGAUGUAAAGCAAGUUUAGAAUACAUAAGGAGUUAAUCUUCAUGCGCAAUAUUAUGGGAAGAUUACUAUCAGGUCACCUCUCAAUCUCAAAUUUGUUUUUGCACUGUAAGCUCGAAUCUUAGGACCCAUUUUUUCAUCAUCUUGUCUGUAUUUUACACAAUGGUUCAAUGUAAUUGUUUCCUCAAUUUUAUUUUUUUUUGACUGAGCUUAUUUUUAGAAUGAGAUAUGACUAUACAAGAUUGUUUGCUAUGGAACAUUUACAUGAUAAUGGGUAACUCUGGAUUAGCAUGA